rnacentral:rRNA from 1 species
AAGCCAUGCAUGUCUAAGUAUAAGCAAUCUAUACAGUGCAACUGCGAAUGGCUCAUUAAAUCAGUUAUCGUUUAUUUGAUAGUACCUUACUACUUGGAUAACCGUGGUAAUUCUAGAGCUAAUACAUGCUAAAAACCCCGACUUCGGAAGGGGUGUAUUUAUUAGAUAAAAAACCAAUGCUCUUCGGGGCUCCUUGGUGAUUCAUAAUAACUUAACGAAUCGCAUGGCCUUGUGCCGGCGAUGGUUCAUUCAAAUUUCUGCCCUAUCAACUUUCGAUGGUAGGAUAGUGGCCUACCAUGGUUUCAACGGGUAACGGGGAAUUAGGGUUCUAUUCCGGAGAGGGAGCUGAGAAACGGCUACCACAUCCAAGGAAGGCAGCAGGCGCGCAAAUUACCCAAUCCCGACACGGGGAGGUAGUGACAAUAAAUACUGAUACAGGGCUCUUUUGAGUCUUGUAAUUGGAAUGAGUACAAUUUAAAUCCCUUAACGAGGAACAAUUGGAGGGCAAGUCUGGUGCCAGCAGCCGCGGUAAUUCCAGCUCCAAUAGCGUAUAUUAAAGUUGUUGCAGUUAAAAAGCUCGUAGUUGAACCUUGGGCCUGGCUGGCCGGUCCGCCUCACCGCGUGCACUGGUCCGGCCGGGCCUUUCCUCCUGGGGAGCCGCAUGCCCUUCACUGGGUGUGUCGGGGAACCAGGACUUUUACUUUGAAAAAAUUGGAGUGUUCAAAGCAGGCCUAUGCUCGAAUACAUUAGCAUGGAAUAAUAGAAUAGGACGUGUGGUUC